rnacentral:rRNA from 1 species
UGUCCAGGGCUACACACGUGCUACAAUGGCGCGUACAGAGGGACGCAAACCGCGAGGUGGAGCAGACCCCAGAAAGCGCGUCGUAGUUCGGAUUGCAGUCUGCAACUCGACUGCAUGAAGUCGGAAUCGCUAGUAAUCGCGGAUCAGCAUGCCGCGGUGAAUACGUUCCCGGGCCUUGUACACACCGCCCGUCACACCAUGGGAGUAGAUUGUACCAGAAGCGGCUAGCCUAACCUUCGGGAGGGCGGUUACCACGGUAUGGUUUAUGACUGGGGUGAAGUCGUAACAAGGUAGCCGUAGGGGAACCUGCGGCUGGAUCACCUCCUUUAAAGAAAAGGGUCUAGACCCCACACACGCCACUCGGUAAGGAAUUGGGCCUAUAGCUCAGCUGGCUAGAGCACACGACUGAUAAUCGUGAGGUCAG